rnacentral:rRNA from 1 species
UACGUAGGGAGCAAGCGUUGUUCGGAUUUACUGGGCGUAAAGGGCGCGUAGGCGGCAAUUCAAGUCACUUGUGAAAUCUCCGGGCUUAACUCGGAACGGUCAAGUGAUACUGCUUUGCUAGAGUGCGGAAGGGGCAAUCGGAGUUCUCGGUGUAGCGGUGAAAUGCGCAGAUAUCGAGAGGAACACCUGAGGUGAAGACGGGUUGCUGGGCCGACACUGACGCUGACAGCGCGAAAGCCAGGGGAGCAAACGGG